rnacentral:sRNA from 1 species
UAUUAUCGUGUGACUGCAACGAUCUUAUCGCCUGCAAAGAUCGCCUUCGGGUGGCGAGAAAAAACUCCCGUAGCCUGAAAGGGAGAGCAAGAAUUGUGGUACAUCUGCGCACUUUUGGAAGUAGAUAUUGCCG